CACCGUUCGGUUGAAGAAUCUUGACUGAUUUGUAUCCAGAGUAAUCCAGAGCAAAAGUUGAUGAAGCCAAUAACACGGGCAAGCUUCAAAAGAUCGGCCACUCAGGAUCUCCCCGCUGAUUCAAAAGCCAUAAAGGAGCUGGCACUAGAGCUGAGGAAAAUCGGAGACUUUCUGCACCUGAGAUAUGUAUUACGCAAGUCUCUCCAAACUGAACAAAGCGCCAUGAAAAAUUGUCAAGCAAUCAAAAAUAUUGAAACAAAUAUUUAACGGAUCAUUUUAUGACCGAGUUUUUGGAAAACAGUAACGGAUUAAUGUCAUUCCUGAAGGACGAGAAAAUGACAAAUUCAGAUUGCGGGUACUUUCAACCAUGUGACAGGAAGGAAUAGGGGAGAUACAGCAUCAGACAACAAAUACGCCCUUGUGAGGCUACAGGGGGAAAAAUGUAACAAAGCAGAGCCACGAAAAGUACUUCGAAUAAAGACACCAUUUUACAAUUUUCCGUUGAAUAAUGAAACAUGAUCGUAAAGUUAAUUUCUGCCCUUGCUGGAAUUAAAUUGUGUGGAUGUUACGUAAAGUCCUUUAAUAACCCAGGAAUUUAGAACAACAAGUGAGUACUUUGUAAAGUUAAUAAAAUUGAGAGUUGAACAAGUACAAGAAAAAAAGUGAGCAUUUUUAUGUUGAAACAUACUUUGAAGUACUCAAACAUCAAUGUUCAUAUUUAUAAUCCAUAAACUGCAUUGUUUCAAUUAAUUUGACUUUAUUGUAAACAAAUUUAAAUCACUAUUACUAUCAUCUGGUGAUUGUUGUUGUUGGCAUGAAGUUGUUUUCAUAACCUUCACACUGUCAAUGUAGUAACUUACCUAACAAAUAAAAUCUACAAUUCCUAUGUUCA